rnacentral:rRNA from 1 species
AUACGUAGGGGGCGAGCGUUGUCCGGAAUGAUUGGGCGUAAAGGGCGCGUAGGCGGCCCGGUAAGUCUGGAGUGAAAGUCCUGUUUUUAAGAUGGGAAUUGCUUUGGAUACUGUCGAGCUUGAGUGCAGGAGAGGUAAGUGGAAUUCCCAGUGUAGCGGUGAAAUGCGUAGAGAUUGGGAGGAACACCAGUGGCGAAGGCGACUUACUGGACUGUAACUGACGCUGAGGCGCGAAAGUGUGGGGAGCAAACAGGAUUAGAUACCCUGGUAGUCCACACUGUAAACGAUGAAUGCUAGGUGUAGGGGGUAUCGACCCCUUCUGUGCCGCAGUCAACACAAUAAGCAUUCCGCCUGGGGAGUACGGCCGCAAGGCUAAAACUUAAAGGAAUUGACGGGG